UAACAGAGACCACCAUCAAGUGCAUCAAGAUGGAUGACAUGCAUGGAGCCUUGUGUCUUCGGGGCACUUGUUCACCUCAUAUACUUACGUACACAGAUUCUAUGCCGAGCGACUGACUGUGAUCUGGAUCACAAUGUUGGUCUCCACAGAUAGGUACAGACUCACUCGACGGGCUAAUUAAAGGCCAUUUGCAAAGGGAAGCGGCUAUAUAAUAUUGUUCAACGUAAAUAAGCUUAUGUUGCUACAGUAUUACGGUAUGUAUCUUUAAAUAUACUAUUCUGAAGGUCUUUGGUUGGUGGUCCGUGGAGUGAGUGGCUGCAUCUUGUUAGACGGUUGAUAGACAUACAUGCCAUAUAAUGUUCAUUGGAAGUUGAACAUGAAUGGCAUCUUCUCAGUAAAAUCUAUGUAUUUAGAUCUCAUAGAUUUGAUGCCUAUACCCAAGUCAAAUCAUAUUUGAAAGGUUAAGGUCCCGUUAAGAAUAAAGGUCUUCAUGUGGUUUGUCCACAAAGAAAUUAUUCUAACGAAGGACAAUUUGACAAAACGUAAUUGGGCGGGUAGUCAAAGAUGCAUCUUUUGCGAUCACAACGAAACUAUCAAACACCUCUUUCUUGAUUGUUCGAUGGCUAGGAUGCUAUGGCGCUCACUUCAUAUAGCCUUUAAUAUCAGCCCUCCUAAUACUAUACACACGUUAUUCGGGACGUGGUUAAAUGGGGUAGAGAUAAACACUGGAAAGAACAUACGGUUGGGAGUAUGUGCAUUACUUUGGGAUAUAUGGAACAAUAGGAAUGAUUUGGUGUUUAACAGACACGGUUCUAUAAAUUUUUUGCAGGUUAUCUACAGGGCCACUGCCAUGAUCCGUAUGUAAUCGUUACUCACUCCUACAUAAGUCAGGGAGCCUUUGGUUAUUGGAUGUACCCGUUGGAUGGUGGUAACUCAGGAUAUCUACAACCGGUUUGGAUGGCGGUCCAGUAAUAGGAUAGAUAGUUAGUGAUCUAUGCCUAUUUCAGCCCGUUAUGGCAUUUUUGGUGUUUACCUUUUCAAUACUUUGUUCCAGCUUGUGAUGUAUUGCGGACCUGUUUAUAUAUUAUUUUUUUAAUAAAUGGCUGCAUGCAUUUAUUGAUGCAGAGGC
rnacentral:lncRNA from 1 species